CCGAUUUUUCAUAAUUACCAGUAUUCUCUUCUGACAAAAGCCUAGCCUCAACCCAAUCAGCCACCGCUGUUAGCCGUCAACAGUAACAUGAGAAAAACCAGCAAUGGAAUUUUCAAUUUCUUAAACCACCGCCGGCCACCGUUAGCCAUCCACCUUCAGUUCGGUUUCCACGAUGCCUGGGUCCCAUGAACCAAUCAAGCGGAGGUUGACUGCGAAGCACAAAACUGCAACCUGUGCCACAACCCUCGCCCGAGCCCUGUCGGAACUCAGACGGUGGAGAUUUUCACAGCCCGACGGAUCUGAUUUUUAUUGCUCCGACGGUUGCCUAUCGGACCGAGUAGAAAGCAAGAAUUUUUGUUACAUGAUUUGGAUAAAAAAAGAAAAAGUGAACCAUAUUAUCUCGGGGACUGCGUACUGAGCAAGGAGAUUGAGAAGUUCCUUUUUUUGUUUCUUUUCUCUUUUCCCAUAUUUGUGCCGGUGAUUGCAAGCGAUUUUGCUGUGGCUGACUCGAAAGUAGAAAGAUAAGUGGGAACAAUUUAAGUUGUGCUGUUCAUAAUGUAUGCUGAGCCCUUUUACCAAUGCAACCUAGUUUGAUAAUAGUAAUUACUUGUGUAAUUAAAUUUGAUCCUUUUGCCAUUGAUAUAUACAAACUCUGCAAGUUUGCAAACGCUUUAAAUCCUUAAUCUUUCUAUACCCUGUGUUUGCAGCACCAUCUUUUGCAGGUCAGGGGUAUUGAUUUAAGUGUGGUUUAUAUGUCACACAGAUGAUGAUCAAGAAUUGGGUUUCUUUGCCAAUUUUCUUGGCAUCUUCAUAUUUGUGCUGGUGAUAGCAUAUGUCGUGGCUGACCCAAAGUUUGAUGGGAACUAGGGACGCUUCGAGCCUUGUAGAAUAUAGAAUGAAUUGUUUCACUAAUGGAUUUUAGUUGACUCUGUUGAGAACUUAACUAGGGAAUGUCAAUGACGUUUUACCGCUAUAAUUUUCAAAAAGAUUCUAUUAGCAUACCACUGUUCUUGCUUUUUAAUCGGGAGCUCCAGUGCCAUAUUUAUUAAAGUUUUUUUUUUUUUUGGUCACCCCCUUUUUCCCCGGGUGGGUGGGGCGUGGUUUACAUUCAGAUGAACUUGUUUUUCUUGUGCAUGAGAUCUCUUAAUUAGUAGGGGAAGUCACUUCUCUAGACUAAUUCCAAAUCAUGGAGCUAGGUUUAUUCUGAAUGCAGAGCGUUGAUCUUACAAUAAAUCUCAUUGAAAUUUACACGACUGGAGGGGUUCUCCCAAAUAAGUAGUUGUUUGACCUCAUUUUCAAUCUUUAUUGUUUCUCUCAUCAAGCUAACGAUGCAGAAUCCCAAGCAGCUGUAUUGAAAAAUUAUUUGGCCUAUAAGUAUCUGUUCAUCUUUUUUUGUGUGAAUCAUCUUAACUGCCUCCCCUAGCUGUUGGAGGACAGAGUCUGUUGCGCUAUCAGCGUCUUCACUUGCACACAAGAUCUUGAAUGUGUCAGCAUUUGGAUAUCCUGACUCAACGUCACUGGGGAUAUUUUCACACUUUAAAAUUUGUUCAAAUUGGCUGAGUGACUUGAUCCUGGUUAUCUCCUCAAGCAGCCUCAGUGUAGGGCCAACUUUAGCCUUGAAAAGCUCUAUAUUAUGUACCAUUUGAUCUUGAAGCUCCCGCCAAUUCACUCCAUCUUUCUCUGACAAUCGUGGGACAUGUUCUGUCAAGUAUUCCACAAAAUGCAGGAGAUCUAACAUCGUUGAUAAGGAUUGUAGCAACCUGCUGUAGCCAGCACCAUGGAAAGGCAGGAACCAGAAACUUGGCUCUGACUUGGCCUCCGAUGAGAACUUUUCUAAUUGACUCACAAAAGAUUCCAGCUUCUUCCGUCUUUCUCGCAAUGUCUGAGAAAGUAACAGUGGGAUCUGGUUCUCACCAGGGGAAAUGGCUAUGGCAUCAAUGCAAUCCUGAAGCGAUCUCAAGCAUUGGGAUAGUUCAGAUUUUGCCAGUGCUGCUGCUCUUGAGGGGUUCAUAAGAAUCUCGACUGUGAUGAAACAGAUGAGCCCAAUUGUGGCUUCAGUGAUCCUAGCAAUUGCAAACUGAGUAGGAGGGCCGUAGUGCUUCCUGCCGAGGAUCAAUAGAGCCCCUAUAACAGCUGAAAUCCCACCAGCUUGCCCAUACAUCCUGCCAUGCAUUAGAAAACAAGAGAAGACAACCCACGGCAAAAGAGGCAAGAGCCUUAAAUCCACUGAUCUUUCAAACAGGAAGCAACAAAGGAUACCAUAGAUUGAUCCCAUUGCCGUUCCUUGUCCUCGAGCAUUAGCAACUGAGAAAGUGGCUUGUCGUUCUGUGACAAAGCUGAUGGCAAUGGUGAGCCCUGACCAGUACCCGUUUUCUCUGUUAUAUAUCAAGCCAAAUAAUACCGCAAGGCCUAAUGAAAGCGAGCACUUGACUGCAAAUGCCAAAUUCUGACUCCUGGGCAACAUGUUCAUCACAAAAUCUCGAAUCUUCCAUGAGUUACAUUGAACAGCAUCAGUUUUCUGGGUUUUAUCCACCACAGGCUGGUCAUUCUUUGUAAUGUGUGAAUCUUUUAAGAGAAGUUCUGCGCAGUACAUGAAGAAAGAAGUUGGAAGAUCUUUACAAGCCCUGCAAAGGUUUUUUGGAGUUCCUAAGAAAAUGUUAGAAAUUUCUUUCUUCCUGUCUGGAGCUGUGGCUGCAUCAGACGACGCAAAACACUUGGCUUGCUGGUCUAAUUUUUGAGUGAUCUGAGCCUUAUAAUCGAAUAAAACACCUCUGAGUUCCUGAUCAACGGCUUCAACGGGAAAAGCAGAGCAGUGUGAUAGAGCGAUUUCCAUUCCUCUUAAUGGUAAUUCAAUGUCUUGCAGGCGUUCUGCCGGUUCCACGCAAUUUGGAUUGAAGAUCGUCACUCGAGGCCUUUCCCAACGCAUGCCGUCCUGUUCGGUUCAUAAAGUCGAAAUUUUUAGCGUAUCUGCCACGAGUAUCAAUUGCCUAAUUAAGGACGUAAUUUCAUGUGUGGAAGCUAGGUUACCAGUUUAAAUCUGAUGCAAUGGAGAAGCUUGGAUCCUACUGGGGAGAGAGACCUGGCUCUAGUGACCAGUUCAAGAGCAGUUGAGUUGUCCAAGGUAGAAAUGGCCUGUAGGUUGUGAUUCAGCCUCUCGGAGGCAUUUGCAGCAUAUAAUUUGUAGACAUUCCGUAUCUGGAAUCGACAAAAGGAAGAUGGUGAGAUGUUUGUUUCGGACC